UUUGUGCUCCCUCCGUCUUGAAUUACUUGUCGCAGAAAUGGACGUAUCUAGACGCAUUUUUAGUUCUAGGUACAUCCAUUCCUGUCAAUUUCCGCGACAAAUAUUUUGGUAGGUCGGAGGGAGUAUUAA
rnacentral:pre_miRNA from 1 species